ACAGGGAGACAGGUGGUGCAUGGUUGUCGUCAGCUCGUGUCGUGAGAUGUUGGGUUAAGUCCCGCAACGAGCGCAACCCCUACGUUUAGUUGCUAACAGGUGAAGCUGAGCACUCUAGACGAACUGCCGUUGACAAAACGGAGGAAGUGGGAUGACGUCAAAUCAUCAUGCCCCUUAUGUUCUGGGCUACACACGUGCUACAAUGGCCGGUACAGACGGAGGCGAAGCCGCGAGGCGGAGCAAAUCCGAAAAAGCCGGUCUCAGUUCGGAUUGCAGGCUGCAAUUCGCCUGCAUGAAGUCGGAAUCGCUAGUAAUCGCAGGUCAGCAUACUGCGGUGAAUACGUUCCCGGGCCUU
rnacentral:rRNA from 1 species